rnacentral:rRNA from 1 species
GACGAACGCUGGCGGCGUGCUUAACACAUGCAAGUCGAACGGAAAGGCCCUGCUUUUGUGGGGUGCUCGAGUGCGAACGGGUGAGUAACACGUGAGUAACCUGCCCUUGACUUUGGGAUAACUUCAGGAAACUGGGGCUAAUACCGGAUAGGAGCUCCUGCUGCAUGGUGGGGGUUGGAAAGUUUCGGCGGUUGGGGAUGGACUCGCGGCUUAUCAGCUUGUUGGUGGGGUAGUGGCUUACCAAGGCUUUGACGGGUAGCCGGCCCGAGAGGGUGACCGGCCACAUUGGGACUGAGAUACGGCCCAGACUCCUACGGGAGGCAGCAGUGGGGAAUAUUGCACAAGGGGCGGAAGCCUGAUGCAGCAACGCCGCGUGCGGGAUGACGGCCUUCGGGUUGUAAACCGCUUUCGCCUGUGACGAAGCGUGAGUGACGGUAAUGGGGAAAGAAGCACCGGCUAACUACGU